GAUGAACGCUGGCGGCGUGCCUAAUACAUGCAAGUCGAGCGAACGGACGAGAAGCUUGCUUCUCUGAUGUUAGCGGCGGACGGGUGAGUAACACGUGGAUAACCUACCUAUAAGACUGGGAUAACUUCGGGAAACCGGAGCUAAUACCGGAUAAUAUUUUGAACCGCAUGGUUCAAAAGUGAAAGACGGUCUUGCUGUCACUUAUAGAUGGAUCCGCGCUGCAUUAGCUAGUUGGUAAGGUAACGGCUUACCAAGGCAACGAUGCAUAGCCGACCUGAGAGGGUGAUCGGCCACACUGGAACUGAGACACGGUCCAGACUCCUACGGGAGGCCGCAGUAGGGAAUCUUCCGCAAUGGGGGAAAGCCUGACGGAGCAACGCCGCGUGAGUGAUGAAGGUCUUCGGAUCGUAAAACUCUGUUAUUAGGGAAGAACAUAUGUGUAAGUAACUGUGCACAUCUUGACGGUACCUAAUCAGAAAGCCCCGGCUAACUACGUG
rnacentral:rRNA from 1 species